CGCCGCUUGCCUCGGCCGGCGCAGCCCCGGCCGCCGGGCGCACCCGUCCCGUGCGUCCCCGGACGUCGCUCUCUGCCCCGGGAACGUCGGGACUGGAGCGCCCGCGCUGAGCCACCUUCACCGACCCAGAGCGCUGCGGCUCGACUCACCACGGAGGCGCUGGGACGCGGGGAAGUGCGUACUCUCAACGGGGAAUGUGUGUGGAGGCUUUUAGGGGUGCGGGGUAACUCCCCAACUCCAUGGGGGCCCUGGUCGGCUCUGCCGCCGCGUCAGAGAUCUGAUGACUCGCUGCGCGCGGCGCGGGGUCGGCGACUUGGGGCGGCGGGGCGCAGAGUACCGUGACCUGGGGGGUCCCCGAAGCUGGUAGCCAGGUCGCCUCGCCUCGGGCCUCCUUGACCCCUGAGGCGAGGCCUGAACCGGGUCGAGAGCGAUCUUGAUGCCGGGGGAGUCCAGCCCGCCUGGGACGCUCUCGCGGUCGUGGGGACUCGUCUGGGGCGGCGGUGGCUGAGCCCGAGUCCGGCGCCGCCACCGCCGGCGUCCCGUGCGCUCGCUACCCGCCUGGGGACCGGCCGCCUAACUUCUUCCCGGGACGGACACAGCGCUCGCAUCCCGGGCAGAGGUGGAAGCUCGCUGAUCCGGAUUCGGCGAGGGCACCGCUCUCGGCGGCGGCGGCGGCGAGGGAACAAGUCUCGGGGAGUCAACCUAGGGCACCGAGCCCCCACCCAGGACCCGGCGGGCCCCAGCGGGCGCGGAGAGAGAUGCGCGUUUCAGGCAGAGGUCCUCUCCUCCGGUUUUCGCGACCCUGGCGGGACCCUCUGCCCUGCAAACUCCCACCUGGGACCGCGGCUCCGGCAGGUCAAGAUCCCUAGUGGAAGGCAGGUCAGGGGCCUGAAGGUAGACCCUUUUCUCUUUCUCCCAGCCAGGCGAUGCCCCUGCGGCCUGGGGCGGCGGCGUUGGGUGCUGCAGAGCCCGGGAACUUCCCACCCAGAGGAAAGGCCGCUUCAUCCCGGACCCCGCUGUUCUCCGCGCCCCCGGCACUGCCCAUCAGCACCGUGGGUAGGGGUCUUUAGAGCCUCUGCGGGCAGCCCAGGGAGACCACCAACCCAUAGGCCCUUGGGCCCCAGGGAGGCUCAGGUGAGCAGCGCUUGUCCUCCGGACUGUUGGCCGUUCUGGCGGAUCUGCUUCUGUUCCUCGGGCCAGCCGGCUCCACCCCGCGUCUCUGGAUUCCGGGACAUCGGACAUCUGGCUCCCACCACGCCUUGUGCAGGUGAGGACAGCCUGAGCUCCAAGUGGCCUCUGGGACGCAGGCCCCGUGCGGAGACUCUUGCUCCUCUGCCUCUGCCCGGUCCUCCCUCCCUCUCUUCCGUCUCCUAAACCCUUUUCCCUCCCAAGCAGCCCCUGCCCCCUUCCCCGCCUCCCCGGGCCGCUUUCUCCUAGCUGCCCACGUCUUGUCCUGACUUGCCCUCGCCCGAGGCCAAGUCUUACCUGGGACCCGGAAGAGCCGGGCCUCGGGCCCUGGGGGACCAGAGUCGGAGCCUGGGCUGUGCCCACGCCAGUGGGCUGGCCAGGCCGACUGCCUCCUUCCUGCCUGCCCUGCGGCAGCUCCAGCAGGGGGCGGGCCGGGGAAAGAAAGGGAUGGACAAGUUGGCUUGGGUCUCCUGGGUAUCCAGGAGCAACUUGGAUGUGGGGAGGGGGUUGGACAGGUGGCUGGGACCCCCAGGCAGGGCAGGGAGGACGUCGCUGCUCCCCAGAAACCAUGCUCCCCAGACUUUCCUCUCCGGCCCCUCCUCCACACUGCCCUGUGCGGGCAGUGGGAGAGGGGCCUCCCGGCCUGUGUCUACCCCCAGGUAACGAAGCUCCCAGCUGCCAGAUAGAUGGAUGCUGAGACUCCCCGUGGGGUGUUCAGGGCCCCCCCUGCAGGAGGGCCCCCCUGGGGCUUCAGGGGGGGAGCAGGGGCAGCCCACACACCUGGCCAAGCGUGUUGAAGAGUGACAGGUGUGUCCUGGCCGUGAGCUUGUCCGGAGGCCUCAGCGCUCCGUCUCCCCAGCCCCCUCCCCGGGCCUCCUGGGGCCCUGGGGGAAUCCCAGCUGCCUUCCUGCCUCUGAGCCUCCGUGCAUACUGUUCCCUCUGCCUCCUCCCUCCCCUGGGACCCGCAGGCCUUCUCCUCGGCCUGCACCUCCCUCUGGGUCAGGCCUGCUCCACCCCCACCGUCUCCCUCCUCGUGGCCGAGGGCCGGGCACCUCUCACUACUGGUCUUGUGUCAGCUGCUGCCCAGACUCUGCCUCUCCCAGGCCGGCCCAGCCAGGAUCCUCCGCAGUGACGAGCCUGCCCCCUGCGCCCCCGAGGAAUCCAAUAAAUCUUUGUGAAACCAGCUACCCGAGUGCA
ensembl:lncRNA uncharacterized LOC113879831